UUUCUAAGCACUCCAUAAGCAUAUACCAGUAAAUAAAUACCACUAUAAGUCUGCAACAAAGAAACCAUGAUCCCAUUCUCAUCUCUGUUUCUCUCUCUCUUUAUCUACACAAAUUUCAUUUGCUGAAUUCAUUGCAAAUUUUAGGGUUGUGAUUUUAGAAAGAGGCAAAAAAAUUUGUGGGGUUUUUGAAUACAAUGCGGCAACUAUGGAGGUUGAAGCUCUGUUGGGAUUAUCUGGGUCAAAAAUGCGAUUUUGCUGCCUUGAUCACUAUGCAGAAACGUAAUGCAGGUCAACUUUUGCGUGGAGAUGUCUUAAACACUUAUUUAAAGAAUGCAGUCGCUGAGAAGAUGACUUUUUUCUGUCAGAGCAAGGGUUCAGAGAUGGAGCCCACUAUUUCUGCUAACGAGACUCUCUUUGUUCGGAAACUCCCUUAUCUGAAUGCAAGGGUACGGGGAAAUCCACAGAAUAUACAUGUGGGUGAUGUAGUUGUUUUAAAGGAUCCUUUGAACUCAAAUAACUAUGUGGUGAGAAGACUGGCUGCUGUCAGCGGAUAUGAAAUGGUCUCCAAUAACAAGGACGAUGAGCCUUUUGUUUUAAAAGAUGGGCAGUGCUGGGUCCUUUCUGACAACAAAAAUCUGAAGCCAGAGGAAAGUAAUGAUAGUCGUACAUACGGACCAAUCUCCAUAAAUAACAUUGUGGGUAGAGUCAUCUACAGGUUUCAAACUGCCAAAGUUCACAAUGUUGUGGUGAACAGUGCGUACAGUUUGCAGAAUGACCGUUCAGUCCUCUUCGUAGAACUAGAUCCUGCUGAAGUGCAACUCAAUAAUGAUAAAAAUAGUAAGGACUCUCAAACAUGAGAGUACUAGAUACAGAACUACAGGUUUGCAGCAUAAGGAGUUCAUCUGACUUUGACGAGAUAGGGAUGAUACAAAGGCAGCUAGAGUAAACGACUCCGAUUUAACUGAAUGUUUUAGCAGCGAGAUUCAGUUUAGUAUUAGUUUUAGCAUCUUUAAGCAUUGGCUGCUGAUCUGGUUGUUUAAAUUUCAGCUUUAGCAAAGACACAUUGGCUACAAUGACAUCAUAACCAAAUGUGCAUAGUGGUAGAUGCGAAAAUUUCAUCAUGGCCCGUUAUUCAGCAAAAAAUUGUACUUUAUAUAGCAACAUAGGCUGAGGAUUGGUGGCGAGAAAACAGGGAGAGUAUUUAUCGAGAGUUUAUUCCUGCACCACCAAAUAGUGUAAAACCAUCAUCUCGUACUUCAUUGCCAACGGCUGCCACUUUAGGUCUACCGCCACCCAAUGAAGAAGUUUGCAAUGCCAACAAUGCAGCCCCUUCAGGAAUAUAACAUGUUCGUAAAUCUCUUGUUUGAUGUCAUCGAAGUCGGGUAGCGUUGUAGAAAAUUAUCUUAGGUAGAUGAGAAUUGGAGUAUGUAUUUGAAGAAAUUUUGGUCCAGAAACACUUUACUACUCCGUAGACCGUAGUAGCCAAGCAUUCUUUUAUUCAAUUUGAACCUUAGAGUUUACAAGUAGAUAUCUUGUAUUCCUCUCAUGUAUUUCGUAUGUUGGUUAUAUUUAUAGUUGUACAAACGGUGAGAAUAUUUCAGAAGUAAUAAAAUCAUUAGGUUACAAUUUUCAUCUUUUAUUGAUGAACCACUUGCCCGUUCACUUGUGAAUUUUUGUUUGAA